UUGGGAAACUUUUUCUUUUUUAUUCAAACAUACGCGUACGAGAGAUAGAUCGAUCGAAGUUUGCGAUAAAAAGUGUUUUCUUUUUUCUUUUUCCCCUUUCUCUGUAAGUAUUAUUUUUAUAACCAUUUAUCGGAGAAUUUCAGAAAUAUAUUUCCUAUAAUAUCUGCAUGAAGUUUCCACACUUUUAUGGGGGAACAUACGCGGGAAAAUUAUUUCCAUGACGUCAAGAAGACGUAGCUUUGUUUCUAUUACAUUUUAUCCUUAUAACCAAUGAGAAUAAUUUACUUGUACAUUUCUUGUAAACGAUAAUGUUUUCUGAUUGGUUAAUUAGAUUAUUGUCGGCUGAUUUAAUUUUUAAUUGGUAAGAUUACUUAACGAAUAGAUGCAAAGGAGAGCGGUAAUAGGCGCCACCUGCGGCUAAUAUUAAUAAUUAACGAUCGUUUUUUUGUUUUAUUCCUGCCUUCGUUUUGAACUACUUUAAGCGGCGUGAAGUCUUGUGUUUGAAUUUUGAAUAAAAUAAUAAAAAAUGUGUUGUGAAGAGAAAGAGAGAAAUCGUCGAGGCUCCAAGCAUUCAUGAAUGUAUAAAAAAUGAUAUUUUUUUACCUCUAACAACCGUUAGAAAAAAAGUACAAAUGGCGGAUUGGUAUAUCGAUCGUUAAUCUUUUUCGCAGUUAGUAUUUCCUUAAAAAGGUUCAUCUUCUUCCUAAUGAUUUAUAGCUACAAGGAGGGGGGGGGGUUCGUUUGAAAAGUUUUUUGCUGGAAAUGGAUACUGAAAUUUUUUGAGAAGAAGAAGAAGAAAAAAAUGGACCAAAAUAAGUAAAAUUAUAAGUCUAAACGUAGGAUAGGAAAAGCUUGCCAACGCCAAGUUCAAAAAUGAUUUGUACGAGAGUAGAUCGCAAUGAAAUAUAUAAGUAGCGAAUCUUCUCUAAAACUCCAUCCAUAAACAGAAGAAUUUUUACCUGAAAUAAUCGGCUAUACAUAAGCACGAAGAUAUUUUACUCAUACGGUAAUAACGCAAUUACGUAGUAAAGGUCGAGUCGUUUGACACGAUGAUCUUUCUGAGUAAUGCACAACGAUCGAUGAUGCGCCGCUCCUUAUUAACGAAGUCAUCGUAAACGAGAGACUUACCGAAGGGGCUGGCGCCAACCAGCUUGAAGUUUGAGCGCGUGGCCGUUCCACCAACAAUAAGCCCUCUGCUUUAUUAAACCAACGCAAAUUGACCGAUUGUGCCUCCUCGAAGCACAAGUGUUCAGGGGGAUGAGAGGGUGCGGACGGGACCGAGGAUGGGGCCGGGGCCGGGGCCAGGGACGGUGCCGGGGACGGGGAGGGGAUAAGAGAGAAGAGGAUAAUUGUCGGUUCUCUUCUUGCAUCGAGAUGCGACCGUAUAAAUACAAAAGAUUAGCAUCAGAUUGACGGAUCUGAAGAAUUAUUUUCCACUCUCUCGUCAUAUGAAAUUUCUUUGACUCACGAGUACAGUUUACUUUGAAGUAUAUGUACUAUUCGCCGAAGGAAUGAUUUGUUAGAAGCCGAUGAAGCUGAUAAAAUCGGUGUCCAAGAUUUCUACAAAAAUCUCACACUUAGGAAUCAUUCAAAAUUCUCACAAAAAGAAAGAUAGAAAAAAACCAUAAAAGAUCAUCACAUUUUUCUUGAGAAAAAGGGAAAAGAAAUGAGGUGACUUACCUGGAAGUCCAAUUAAGUGUGAUUCCGAGAUACAAGUUGUACGGGGCAGGACGAGCGUGAGCGUGUGGACACACACGAGAAAGGAGAAAGAGAAAGAAGGAUAGACAAGAAGAAGAGACAACAAAUAAAUUUUAUAAAGAUCGUAUACGUUAAUGGUACACAUACAAUGAGAGAAAGGAUAAUUUCGAGAAAAGACUGAGACACAUCACGUACGUUCCUAAAAUGUUCAAAUUGAAGUCGAAGGUCUACUCUGUGGAUUCACGGAUAUGACUCAAGUCGCGAUUUCUAUUUACCCUAAGUACUUUUUAAUUCUUAUAAAAGUAACUUGAAGAAUGAGAAAGUACUUUUCUUUAUAUUUUGAAAAAAAGUUAAGGACAGGAUGUGCUUUAAAGAGAUUCACAUUCAUUUCUGUUUUCUAAGUAUUUUCGCCUUAUUAACGACAAGUAUUGCGUUCAACAGUCACGCAAGGCUUUGUUUCUUUCUGCGAACAUAAAAAAAAAAUAAAAAGAAAGAAGAAGAAAAAUGAAGAAACGAAGAGGGGUUGUAAUAUGGUGGUAGUAUUAAUGGCGGAUAGGACGAUAUGGUGGUGGUGGUGGUGACAGGGUCGUUCGUGUACGCCGUCGUAAAGUGAAAGCAAGCACCGUUCGCGAGUUCCUCGAAAUCGAUCGGUAAUUUCCGGGGAGAGGUGACUUCACUCAGGGAUUCCAUCGAAGUCACGCUUUCUCGUUUCGUUUCUACAUAUACAUAUAAAAACCUGAAGGAAAGGCUUGACUGCGACAUGGGAUUCGUUAUCACCGGAAGGAACGUUAACUAGAACACUAAUAAGAAUAUCUGAAGCACGAGCUUGAGAGAGAUUGGAAUAAUCAGAGGUCAGAUGUCAAUGCGGAUGUGUAAUUCCCCCUUCCGUAUUGACACGGUGGAACUACACGGUAAAUGCACAAGGGGUAGAACUUUGCUUUUCGAAGGAGCAUUUUAAAUCACGUACAAGUGUUCUCUCUGUUUGAAGAAAGAAAGAAUAAACAAUUGCGAGGUGGGGGAUGUUAAUUAAAAGAAGGGUAAAAGUAAAAGACGAAAAAGGGUAGAAACGAAGUACGUUCUAGGACAGAUGAAGAAAGCUCAUAUCAGUGUUAUAGACCCAUGGUGUACGUACACUUGUGAACGAUGGCAACGGCGAUGACAACGACGACGACGACGACGACGACGACGACGACGACGGCGACGGCGACGACGUGCCGAAGAUGGAUUAUAAAUGAUGCUAUUAAUUGGGAAUGUAAUCGAACAUUAAUUAAAUAGUUGUAGCAAUUUGUGAAAACAUUCGUAAGUAAAUGAAUAUCUUUGAUUAAAUCAGGAUAGCGUUUCUAAUGCACACUCUAAGGUAUUUUAUCUAUUCAAUUAUAGCAAAGAAGAUAGAUUACAAAAGACGCCAUUUUGAAAGGACCAAGAAUGCAGUCGAAAGAUUAACCGUGAAGUAAGUAGAGUAUCGAAGAGAAGAAGAACAAGAAGAAGAAGUGGAGGGGAAAGAGAAAGCGGAAUGAGAGCAAGAAGUCGAAGACAUAAUAAUCGGUGGCCUUUGCACGGCCUUUUCUGUCUUACAAGAAGAAGAAGAAGAAGAAGAUGAAGUAGCAGGAUAGGUGGAA
rnacentral:lncRNA from 1 species